UACAGAAACACCUGUUUCCAUGUGAUCACCAAAGUUAAGCAACAUCAAGCCUGGUCAGUAGCUUGAUUGUUGACCUCUUGGGAAUACCAGGUGGU